AGCAGUCGCCGCGGUAAUACGGAGGGUGCAAGCGUUAAUCGGAAUUACUGGGCGUAAAGCGCACGCAGGCGGUUUGUUAAGUCAGAUGUGAAAUCCCCGAGCUUAACUUGGGAACUGCAUUUGAAACUGGCAAGCUAGAGUCUUGUAGAGGGGAGUAGAAUUCCAGGUGUAGCGGUGAAAUGCGUAGAGAUCUGGAGGAAUACCGGUGGCGAAGGCGGCUACCUGGACAAAGACUGACGCUCAGGUGCGAAAGCGUGGGGAGCAAACAGGAUUAGAUACCCCUGUAGUCCCUGUCUCUUAUAC
rnacentral:rRNA from 1 species